ACCACCAAAAUUAACUUAACACCAUAAAUAAUUUAGCAUUAAUUAAACCAAAAAAUUAAAUCAUUUUUCCACCUUAGUACGGGAGACGGAAAAGGUAAUUUUAAGCAAUAGAGAAAGUACCGCAAGGGAAAGCUGAAAGAGUAAUGAAACAAUUCACACAAGCACAAAAAAGCAGAGCCUAACCCUCGUACCUUUUGCAUCAUGAUUUAGCCAGCACUACACAAGCAAAGCGACCUUUAGUUUGAAACCCCGAAACCAAGUGAGCUACCCCGGGACAGCCUGUUUGGGCGAACCCGUCUCUGUGGCAAAAGAGUGGGAAGAGCCCCGGGUAGAGGUGAUAAACCUACCGAACUUGGUGAUAGCUGGUUGCCUAAGAAAUGAAUAGAAGUUCAGCCUCGUACCCCUUUAGCCAACUAGGAAAUAUCUGAGUAAGCACAGAAGAGAAAUACGAGAGUUAGUUAAAGGGGGUACAGCCCCUUUAAUAAAGGACACAACCUUAAAUAGGAGGAUAAGAGUCACAUUUUAUAAAACUAGUCGUUCCAGUGGGCCUAAAAGCAGCCAUCUGAUUAGAAAGCGUUAAAGCUCAAACGACAUACAGUUUAUUAUACUGAUAAAUAGCCCAAUUCCCCUAAAAGUAUUAGGCCGUUCCAUGCCACCAUGGAAGAGACCAUGCUAGAAUGAGUAAUAAGAGGGUAUGACCCUCUCCUAGCACAAGUGUAAGCCAGAUUGGACAAGCCGCUGGAAAUUAACGAACCCAUAAGAAGAGGGUAGUGUGUUUACUAAAGAAUUCGAGAAAAUAACACAAUAAUUACAUCGUUAAACCUACACUGGAGUGCCAUCGAGGAAAGACUAAAAGAAAGGGAAGGAACUCGGCAAACACAAGCCUCGCCUGUUUACCAAAAACAUCGCCUCCUGCAAACCCCUACGUAUAGGAGGUCCAGCCUGCCCGGUGACUACAAGUUUAACGGCCGCGGUAUUUUGACCGUGCAAAGGUAGCGCAAUCACUUGUCUUUUAAAUGAAGACCUGUAUGAAUGGCUAAACGAGGGCUUAACUGUCUCCCUUUUCAGGUCAGUGAAAUUGAUCUACCCGUGCAG
rnacentral:rRNA from 1 species